CAGGAGCAGGGUUGCUGGGAGCUCCGGACUAGGAAGAACGGCCUCUGAGACCCUCGCCCCGGCUCCCGUUAGCACGGCAUCCCUUCGAUGGCAGUGCUUCUCGCCGUGUGGAUGUUUUCCCGCCAUGGCCUCCUCCUAUGGAGUUUCGAUACCACAAUAUACCGUGACAGCCUGGGCACCACUGAGCCAAAGGAGAACAAACUGUCGAUGCACACGACAACUUGUCUGGCCCUCCAGAGAGGUGGCUGUGUGAAAAGAAGGCCAGUGCCAAAAGGCUAUGUGCUGCGGAUUGUGCUUAUACCAUGCUUCUGAGGCAGUAGGAGGGCCCCCUGUCUCAGGGUCACAGUCAGUCAAAUCAACCCAAAAGGCAGGUGAGCGAGCCGCCUCGUACACCAGGGACGGCAGUUUCCUUAGAAGGCUGAUGAGAUGCCGCAGGAGCCUGACCCUUGUUGACACCGAUGAGCCUGUGGCACAGUCGGUUCUGCUGUAAGUCGCUGCGCUCAAAGUCGCAGAACUUACUGCCCACGUUAUGUGAGGACGUACUAGGCACUGCCUUGCACACCAGCUCAGCCGGAGGGCAGGUGAGCCGAGGCUCUGUCUGCUGCGGGCAGGGCUUUGCUGCCCUCCAUCCAGAAACGCUUCCUCUGGGGCACGUAGAUCAGCUGGACCAACAGCCCCCCAAAACCAUUUGUUGGAAAACUGCAUGUAACCCAUCUGUUCUCUUACUUGGCUGGGGUGGAAGAACACCACAGCCCAGAGUGGCUGCAGCCCCUGCUCACUUGAGCAGCUAAGUCGGGGAGUGGUGGUUCCCCCAGGAGGGCCCCCCACUCAGGGCUGGUUCAGUUGACCCAGCCCAUCCUUCAGGCCUUAAAACAGGCCCUGUUCUUUGGAUCCGGGUGGGCUGAGGCUGGGCGGCUGCCUGGACCCCCCGGUGGGCCCGCCUGCCCUGAUGUGGCCAGGCCCAGUGGGGGGCUUCUUCAGCAUCACGGGAGUG